UGGGGGAUAUUGCACAAUGGGCGAAAGCCUGAUGCAGCGACGCCGCGUGGGGGAUGAAGGCCUUCGGGUUGUAAACUUCUUUUGCUCUGAACAAGGCAUGCCUUUGGGGUGUGUUGAGUGUAGGGGUUGAUUAGCGCCGGCUAACUACGUGCCAGCAGCCGCGGUAAUACGUAGGGCGCGAGCGUUGUCCGGAAUUAUUGGGCGUAAAGGGCUUGUAGGUGGCUGGUUGCGUCUGUCGUGAAAGCUCAUGGCUUAACUGUGGGUUUGCGGUGGGUACGGGCUGGCUUGAGUGCAGUAGGGGAGGCUGGAAUUCCUGGUGUAGCGGUGGAAUGCGCAGAUAUCAGGAGGAAUACCGGUGGCGAAGGCGGGUCUCUGAGCUGUUACUGACGCUGAGGAGCGAAAGCGUGGGGAGCGAACAGG
rnacentral:rRNA from 1 species